rnacentral:ncRNA from 1 species
AAUGGGGGUAGCGACUGUUUUUUAAAAUACAGGACUCUGCUAAGUGGUAACACGAUGUAUAGAGUCUGAGACCUGCGCGGUGCUGGAAGGUCGGAAGGAGAAGUGUUAUAAGCUUUGAGUGGAAGCCCCGGUCGGCAGCAGUAACUCUAACUGUCUAAGGUAGCGAAAUUCAUUGUCGCAUAAGUAGCGACCUGGUAAAGCACAGGUACCC